CAGAGGGUGUGGUAUGAGAGACCUAGGGAGUGAAAACGGGGAGUCAUGGAAGGUCAAGUUAUUACAUAAAGUGACAGCCCACAUCUCCAACAGGGAGGACUCAUGUGUUCUGCAGGCUGUUUCCUCCCCACCCCUCCUGGCCUUUAUCUUGCAGAGCAGCCCUGCUAGGCAGCCUGUGGAGAAGCCCCCAUCUGGUAUCUGAUCCAAAUUCCCAGCUUUGCUAUUUAUGGACACAGAGUGAUCUUGGACCUCAGUUCUCUCCCUUGGCAUAGUAUGUCCACUUGAUAGGCGAGUGGGUGACUUGAACAUUGUGCAGUGGGUACUCAGCGAUGGUGGUGGCCAACUGACUCACAUCUGACACUCAGAAGAAGAAACUGGAAUACUUGGUAUGAUACCUGGAUGAAUUGACUGGCAAUUUAAAAGAAGUUAUUCUGAGUGAAAGAAGAUUCCAGAAGGAGGGAGUUGGUCUCUGACAUAAACCAAACGGUUCAUCUCCUCAACAUGUUCUGAAAUCAGGACUGAUGAGUAGGAUUCCACUGGGUCUUACAGGGUGAAAAUCCAUCAAGUAAAAUUAUCCCUUUUUGUG